CGAGCUCGUCCGUCGGAAUGGAGGAGCAAGGUAGUUCUGCGCAUGUGCAAUACGGCUGUGUGAGUGGGAUGGCGGCGGUUUAUUGUCGGUUGGCGACUUUCCACAGUGGACAUUAUUGUGGUGGAGGCUUUUGUCGCAUCAUAGUCGCCAUCUACCACCGUGCAAAGGGACUUGGUGGAUCUUCUGGAUUGCUUUCAGUCUUUAGCAUGCGGCAAAAUCAACAGCAGCAAAGGAACCUUUCCUUGCACGAAUACUUGAAUAUUCGAUUACUGGAGGAUGCUGGUAUCUCUGUACCAAUGGGGAAAGUUGUCUCUACGCCACAAGAGGCAUAUGAUGCAGCCAAAGCAAUUGGCUCAAGAGAUUUUAUUGUAAAGGCACAGGUUUUGGCUGGUGGCAGAGGAAAAGGAGUAUUUGAAGGAGGUCUGAAAGGAGGAGUUCAAAUUGCUUACUCUCCAGAACAAGCCCGGGAUAUUAGUUCCCAAAUGAUAGGAAAGAAAUUAUUUACAAAACAAACAGGUGCAAAAGGAAGAAUAUGCAACAAGGUAUUGAUCUGUGAGCGGAGGUACACCAGGAGAGAAUAUUACUUUGCAAUAAUACUCGAUAGGAUAUUUCAGGGGCCAAUAUUGAUGGGCAGCUCUCAGGGAGGAGUUAACAUAGAAGAGGUAGCAGUGCAAAACCCUGAAGCAAUUGUGAAAGAGCCUGUUGAUAUACUCGAAGGUGCCACGAAAGAGCAAGCUGUCAAGCUUGCAAAGAAAAUGGGAUUUCCUUCCGAUAUUAUAGAAGAUGCAGCAGAGACUAUGAUCAAAUUAUAUGAGAUAUUCGAUAAAUAUGAUGCCAGCAUGGUAGAGAUAAAUCCUAUGGCGGAGGAUGCCUCUGGAAUUGUAAUGUGCAUGGAUGCAAAAAUCAACUUUGAUUCUUAUGCUGCCUUCCGGCAGAAGGAUAUUUUUGCUCAGCAGGACUGGAGUCAAGAAGAUGCACAGGACAAGCAAACAGCUGAUUCAGAUCUCAAUUAUAUUGGACUGGAUGGAAAUAUUGGUUGUUUGGUAAAUGGUGCAGGGCUAGCUAUGGCCACAAUGGAUAUCCUAAAGCUUCAUGGAGGUGCACCUGCCAAUUUUUUGGAUGUAGGUGGUGGAGCUACAUCUCAGCAAGUGACAGAGGCAUUUAAACUAAUUACUUCAAACAAAAUGGUUGUCAUCAGCCAAAAUUGCUUGUAUGGGGAUGGGACGUAUCCGCUCCUCAAUGUUUUUCCAUUGAGCAUCAUAUGAUGGGUUGCACCAACAUAUUACAGCUCUCAACUGUGCUGCAAACUAAUAAUCUCUGAGAAGCUCCAUAGCCGGGGGAAGCUCCAGCACGUCCCGCAGCAACUUUCCCACAAACUCCAUCAUAGAUGAGCUCUUCGCUUCUUCAGGAACGUUGUAUAUUCUGAUAUUUUUCCGCCGUGAUCUUCCCUCCGUGAUCUUCCCUCCUUUUUGGUGAUGUAUGAUUUUUAUCAUCUUGCUCAGUAUCCAUUCCACGUUUUGAACGCGAUCUUCCAUCUUCUCAAUGCGAGUCUCUGCCACCACUAUUUUUUUAUUAACGCUGGCAAGCUCUGCCUUAAUAUCACGGAGCUGCUGCUUUAUACCUUUCUGGACUUCCAUUAUUUCUUUCAGUAUUUCGAAGACAUUCGCCACUUUGAACAAGACCUGGCGGCUGCCUUGCUCGCACGCGAUCGGGUAGGAGAGCCACUCGCUGCACUCCUCUUGGAUGCAGGCUCGCAGUGUCGCUUUCUUAUUUCCAUUCCUUCUCCCCAUUCUUGCCCCUCUUUUCAGUUCAAAUAUUUUUUGAAAAAUAUUAUAUUUGAAGGGUUAAUGGGGCUUAAUAUGCGUUUUUCCAGAGGAUCUAGUGACUUAAGCUGCCAUUCUCGACGAUGACUGCACCGGAAAACCACAUCUCUCUCUUCUUCUUUAUCAGAGUACCAAUAUCCCUCGAGAAACAAGGUUCCUUGUUCUUAUUCAUUUUGCAUUUAACCCUGACAGGAACAUACAAACUCUGCACUCCCAAAAUUUCUCCUUUGAAGGCCUCCCACUUACCAAUCACAUCCUUGCCAGAGAACAACCUGUCCCAAUCUAUGCUUUUUAGAUCCUGGCCUUUAUCCAGUUUAGAACUUCAACCCGAGGACCAGAUCUAUCUUUAUCCAUGAUCAAGUUGAAACUAAUAAUGUUAUGAUCACUGGAACCAAAGUGUUCCCCUACACACACUUCCGUCACCUGCCCUAACUCAUUUCCUAAUAGGAGAUCUAAUAUUGCAUCCUCUCUAGUUGAUACAUCUAUAUAUUGAUUUUGACAACUUUCCUGAAUACAUUCCACAAACUCUAACCCAUCUAGACCUUUAACAGUAUGGGAGUCCCAAUCAAUGUGCGGAAGGUUAAAAUCCCCUACAAUCACAACUUUCUGUCUCCUGCAGUUGUCUGUUAUCUCUGCAGAUUUGCUCCUCCAAUUCUCACUGACUAUUGGGUGGUCUAUAAUACAACCCUAUUAAUGUGGUCAUACCUUUCCUGUUUCUCAGCUCCACCCAUAUGGCCUCAGUAGACAAGCCCUCUAAUCUGUCCUGCCGAAGCACUGCUGUAAUAUUUUCCCUGACUAGCAAAGCCACUCCCCCCCCCCCCACCCUUCAUCCCUCUGCCUCUAUCAUGCCUGAAACAUCGGAACCCUGGAACAUUAAGCUGCCAGUCCUGCCCCUCCUGUAGCCAAGUUUCAGUGAUGACUAUGAUGUCAUAAUUCCAUGUGUCUAUCCAGGCCCUCAGCUCAUCUGCCUGCCCCACAAUACUCCUUGCGUUGAAAUAUAUACACCUCAGAAGAUUGUUACCACCACAUACAACCUUACUAUUUGUGACUUUGCAUGAACGACUAACAUCAUUUACUUUUACCUCCAUUCCACUAUCUACUCUGGCACUCCGGUUCCCAUCCCCCUCCAAAUCUAGUUUAAACCCUCCCCAAUAACAUUAGCAAACCUCCCUGCAAGUAUAUUGGUCCCCUUGUAGUUAAGGUGUAACCCGUCUCUUUUGUACAGGUCCCAGAAGAGGUCCCAAUGAUCUGGAAAUCUGAAACCCUGCCCCCUACACCAGUUUCUCAGCCAUGUGUUCAUCUGCCAGAGCAUCCUACUCUUACCCUCACUGCCACGUGGGACAGGCAGCAAUCUGGAGAUUACUACCUUCGAGGUCUUUUUUUUCAACUUCCUACCAAGCUCUCUGUAUUCACUCUUCAGGACCUCCUGACUCUUUCUACCAAUGUCAUGUGGUACCACAACAUCUGGCUGAUCACCCUCCCACCUCUGAAUGCUGUGCACACGAUGAGAGACAUCUGACCCUGACCCUGGCACCCAGGUGCACUGCAGAACCAGACUCAGUGCCAGAGAUCCGGCUGCCGCAGCUUGUCGCAGGCUGAGCUAAUAGGGAUAAUUUUACAUUACAUUCGCAUUACAAUUUUUGUACUCUUGGACAACAGACAUCCAUUUUCCAGACAUGAUAUUCAGCAGGAAAAAUAUAAUGCUGAGAUGCAACUUAGAAAUAUAUUCUCUGUAUAUGUUGUUAAAACAUGGUGUAUAAAAAGGAUCAUAGCCAAUGAACAAGGAAAUACAGUACUUUUAAAUUACUUUACUUGGGUGAUUGCAUUGUUACUUU